rnacentral:rRNA from 1 species
GAUCAGGUNGGGAUACCCGCUGAA